rnacentral:lncRNA from 10 species
CUCUGUGCAAAGGCAGAGGCUGUGGGAGCAGCAUCAAGCAAGACUUCGGGCAGUGAUUCUAACUAUUGCCUAUGAACACCGUGGCUGGGACGACUUUGACGAGGCAAUUUAUUACUUACGCAUAGAACACUGGCUGUGCUGAAACUGGGAGCGCAAACAGCCCCUUGUUUUCUAAUUUAGAGACUUGCAUCUUUUCGACACUCAACAGUAUCAAGACACUCUGCUACUACAGAUUGAUUUCCACCAUCAACACCUUUACCUCUUCCCGCCUGAAAAUAAAAUAUGAAAUAUAACAAGUAAAUCGCAAUCUACCUUGGGAAAUCAUCUUUCGGGAAUUUAUCUAAGAAGAACUUCUUAUGUGAACUCCUGUGCUUAAGCAAUCUUCCUGCCUUGGCCUCCCAAAGUUCUGAGAUUAUAUGGAUAUAUGAAGUCUGGGGGUAAGACCUGCAGUAAUUUCCCUUAAGAUACUACAGAAUUUCCAAGGACUUGAGGAAUAAUUGCACUCUUGAAAGAGCCUAUGAAAAAAGAAGAGACUUGGGAAAUUUAACAGAAGUUCACUUUCCACCACUGCGCAAACUAAGGAAAAACUUAAAGCAGUAAAUAGCUGCGGUUGGCAAAGCUGUUUUGGCUCAGGAGCAGCUAUCAGGCCUUGAUAAGGUCCACAAGUCUGCUGUUCUAAAAUCAAAAAAAAAAAAAAAAAAAACAACCCUAAAUGUUGAAAGUAUUUUUG